rnacentral:tRNA from 1 species
UUGAUAGAAACCAAAAAAGAGGUGCGUCAUUGUUAAUGAUAAUAUUGAAUUAUAAUUAUUCCUAUCAAA